rnacentral:misc_RNA from 1 species
CGUAUGAGCGAGGACAAUUACUAUCCUCGCGUCAACACGGGGCACGUCAGGCUUUCGUAAGGGAUGAUUGAUUCGGGCAAAAAAGGACAAAGUCCCCGACCGAUCUUUGCUUCUACAUACAAGACUUCGAGCAACCCUUGGGCAUCCAAUGCCUGCUAGCUAAAUAAGAAAAGCAAGAGUGGAAAUCCAUGGGUGCUAACUGGUCUAUGUCGCACAAAACCUUUUAGCACGAGAUAGAGUAUGGAUGUUGGGACUAGAGAAUUCCGUCAAAAUAGGUAUGCUGCACAGGGGGCCAAGGCAGUCCAAGGUAAAAGAUUUAGCACUCAAACAGAAUUGAACAGGUGUGAACUAGCGAUUGUCGCUGCCAGGGCAGG